rnacentral:lncRNA from 1 species
CAGCUUCAGCCUCAGAGCACACAGCACUGAGUUGUAAGAAACAGGUCUCAUCAUCCCCUUGGCCAGCAGAUUUUCACCCUGGGCCCACUAAGAAGCCUGCCAGGGGGUCCUCUGUUGUCUGGACCCUGAGGCUUCAUCCUCAAUGUGUUGGAGCCUAGGAGAGAGGAUUAGAGUUAUGCGAGUUUCCCAACGGUGCAGUCUCUACUCACCGCAACCUCUGCCUCCCGGGUUCAAGCAAUUCUCCUGCCUCAUUCUCUUGGGUAGCUGGGAUUACAAGCAUGCGCCACCACUCCCAGCUAAUUUUGUAUUUUUAGUAGAGAUGGGGUUUCUCCAUGUUGGUCAGGCUGGUCUCGAACUCCUGACCUCAGGUGAUCCGCCCAGCUCAGCUUCCCAAAGUCCUGGGAUUCCAGGCAUAAGCCACUGCGCCUGGCCUGUUUCUAUUUUCUUUUGCCAGGCAGGUUAUGUUAUACUGGGGUUUCUUGCUGAGGUCUGUCCUGGGACUGUCUGAGGUGUCACAAAGAGCCCACAGGUACAGACGAGAAAUUUGAAAGUGAAUCCAGACGCAGCAGAUGACAGCAAGAUGGGACUCCAAGUUCUCUUUCUAGAAAUUACAAGCUGCUCCGCUACCCACACAUGUAGCUCAUUCUCCCUGUGGCCAAGACACUCCUGUGCCUGAGGGAAAGGCAAUGCCUGCGGCAGAAACGGAGCGGUCCCCCAGCCAGGGGAGAGAGUGGCACCUAGUAUGGUACCCAAUGCUCUAAGGCAUGGAGCUGAUUGACUGCUGACUGUAGACCAGCCACUCACCACAGUGUAGGUUGGAAGCCUUCUAAGGCCGUGCGUUCUGCAGAGUCAGCCCAUGAUGGGGCCAGGAGUGUGGGCUCCAGUGUCACCCCCUUGGGAUUUAAUCCUGGCUGCACCUCUGGGGGCCUUGGGAGAGUAUAAGGGAAAGAAAUAGUCCCUUCCUUUCUUUGGAGAGAAGGAAUCCACAAGCUGGAAGGAGGGACCCUGGCACGAAGAAAGGCACAGGCCCCUCCAUAACUUGUUUCUACCACUCCCCUUUGAGGGCCCCUGGGGAAGGUUGGUUAGUCUUGAAUCUGUGCCCAGGAGAAACCAAAAAUCCUUAGUGGGGUUUCUCCCUGUCCUAGGCCUCCUGUCAGAGCUAGCGGAGAUCUGCUGGAAGGAGGCCGGGAGGAGGGGAUGUACGGAUGCCAUCAUGCCUGGAUGGAGGACCAGAAGGUCUUUAUAACAAGUAUUUGUGGAGCUCCUAAUAUGUGCCAAACUGUGGUAGACCUGGAUACCCAGAAACACGGCCACUCCCCUAAAGGAGGUUGCAGGCUAUACCAAUUAAAAUAAUUAUCUCAGUCCCUUCUUAUCAACAGAGUCGUCCAUGGAGACUAUUUCUCCCCCUGCCCCAGGCACACAGAAGCCUUGAGGCUUUCAUUGUGGCCCCACGGUGACAGCACACCCAGGUGGCACUCUCAGCUUAUCACUGAUUUGCAGAGCUGCUGUCUUGCAGCUAAAAGCAAUGUGCUGGUGGAUUUUUAAAAAGAAGUUCUGAGAGGCUUCUUAGAAGGUCUUUCUCCACAUCACUAACUAUUCGGAUUCCGGAGCACGGUGCCAAGCCCCUCCAUUUACUGCAGCCUUGCCCUUCCUCUCAAGAUCCAGCCGCUAAUGCUAUGGGAUGGCUGGUGGCCCCACUUGGGCUCCCCCAACCCCCACCUCGACCCCUAGCUUCCGCCUGUUUGGAGCUGUUAUCAGAGGAAACAGACUUGAACAUGACGGAGUUGCUGUCUCUUGGGCCUGACCAGAGAGUUGUGUUUUCUUGGCCUAUAUCACCUCAGAUUUAUCCUCGGCCUGACCGCAGUCAUUAUCAGCUAAAUUCACCAUCUCUAGAUGCCCAGAAGAUUUCAAAAGUGGACUAUAGGCUGCCAGUUGGUGUUAGAGUUCAGAGAAUCCCUGGACUUCAGCACUAGAAAGGAGCAGCUGCUAUGUCGGGGGUGUCAGGGGCUGGAUGCAGGGGCUGUUGCACUGAUCCCAGCUUGCUCCAUUCACAAGCCCCUCAUCCAUCUCUGAAGACUGGGACCAAAGCCAGGGCUGGGGCAGGCCUCUCUGGGCACAGGGGCCUGUUAGCAUUGGUUUCAUUCCUUCACCAAGAGGCCUAAAGACAUUGGAAUGAUGAGGCAAUUAAUGUGAAACAGAAACAAGUGGCUUUAGUUCCAGGCAUUUGAAACUGAAAGGAAGCUGUUGACAUUCUUUGAGACCCACUCUAGGCUAUGAUUUUUGCUGUGCUAGCCAGAACUCUGCUACUUACUUGAAGUAGGACCUUGGGAAAGUCCCUUCUCUAGGUCUCAAUUUCCUCAUAUGUAAAAGUGCAUCUGGGAUUAGUCAAGACCCUUCCAAGCCUGACAUGCUAUGGUCUAAGUGUCCCAGUAAUCUCUCUGUCACCCAGGGAUCAAAGAUUUACAGAUGUGUAGGAGAGAUGGGGAGGAACACACUAAGAUAUGUCCUUGUGAGUUUAGUUAACUAAAAGACUGGGGGAAAGAAAGGGAAGUAAGAAAAUAAAGUGAAAAGGUGGAAGAAGGCAGAGUGUAAAAGAGGGAGAUAAGGAAAGUACAAAAGAUAGAGAUGUCUGCUGCAAUUUCUCAGUACUCUUCAGAUACAUCCUGGCCAGGUUUACUUUCUUAGGGGCAGGGUAGAUUGUGAGGGUGUGGAAAAUGGUAUUUUUUCAAAGAGAGUCACAAUAGUAUUGCCAUCUCACAUGCUGUUAUACAAUGUGAUCUUGCCAUUUCUCUACCAAGAUAAAUGCAGUCUAGUUUCUCUCCCUUUAAAUCUGAGCUGGCCGUAAGACUUGCAUGAACAAUAAAAUGUGGUGGAAGUUAUUCCAAGUGACUUCUGAGGCUUGGUCAGAAGCAGCUUUCCCUUAGUUACUUUGAGACAUUUGUUCUGAGGGAAGCCAAUCUGACUACCUGAGGCCAUUGUGCUGGAGAAGCCACACAUUGGCAUUCCUGUUGACAAUCCUAGCUGAACCCUGCCUUCUAAUCAUUUCCCUCAAGGCUUAUCAAAUAAGUGAAUGAAGCUAUCUUGGACUCUCCAGACCAGCCCAUGCUGCAGCUAAGUAUUACUGAUCAAUUUCACUUUAUACCACAGGGAGCGGAAGAAUCACCUAGCUGAGCCCUACCCAAAUUCCUGCUGUGUUUGUGCCUAGAUUUUUUUUAUAAAACAAAACACACUGGAACAGGAUGGCAGGAGAUUUUUUUGUUUUUGUUUUUUAAACGCUUGUUUCAAACAGCAAUGAAAAAUCCUUAAAAAUGUAUAAAUAAGACUUCAAGAUUUUAGAGGUGUGAAAUUUCAAAAGAAAUCUGGAGGCUGGGCGUGGUGGCUCACGCCUGUAAUCCCAGCACUUUGGGAGGCUGAGGCAGGUGGAUCACAAGGUCAGGAGAUCGAGACCAUCCUGGCUAACACAGUGAAACCCCGUCUCUACUAAAAAAUACAAAAAAUUAACUGGGCGUGGUGGCAGGCGCCUAUAGUCCCAGGUACUCAGGAGGCUGAGGCAGGAGAAUGGCAUGAACCUGGGAGGUGGAGCUUGCAGUGAGCCAAGAUCGUGCCACUGCACUCCAGCCUGGGUGACAGAGUAAGAUUCCGUCUCAAAAAAAAAAAAAAAAGAAAUCUGGAAGCCAACUUUCAAUUUGCCCAUUAAGGACUUUAGUACAAAACUACCAUCUUCUAUAGGUCAUUAUAUCGUUUUUGUUUUUGAGACAGAGUCUCACUCUGCCACACACAUUGCAGUGCAGUGGCGCAGUCUUGGUUCACUGCACCCUCCCUGUCCCAGGCUCAAAUCGUCCUCCCACCUCAGCCUUCCAAGUAGCCAGGAAUACAGGUAUGCACUACCAUGCCCAACUAAUUUUUAAUUUUUUUUUAGUAGAGAUGAGGUCUCAAUGAAGCAGUGUUGUUGCCUGGGGUAAAUACCCGGGUUCAUCAUCUCGAGCCAAGAAGAUUAAGGACAUGAACACACAUGAAGAGUAAGUUUAGGAGCAGAGGUUUAAUAGGCAAAAGAAAGAGAAAGGAGAACAGCUCUCUCCCUUGCAAAAGAGAGGGGCUCCCAAAGGGGAAAACCCAGCCUGCGGUGGACUACACCCGAUUUUAUAGGCAAGCUUGAGAAGGCAGUGUCUGAUUUAUGUAGGGUUCACAGAUUGGUUUGACCAGUAUGAUGUUUACAUAGUAUUCACGGAAGGCUGCAUGCCCCACCCUAAUCUUAUUAUGUAAAUGGAGUCUUUGCCUGGCUGGCGCCAUAUUGUCUUCUCCUUACUGUACAUGUGGUUUGACAAAGGGAAGGGAAGAUGAAGCUGCCAUUUUGAACAUGCCUAGUCCCAGGUAGCCUUUUCCUGUUGGCACAACUGCUGGCAUUCACCUGUACAAGCUUCCAGCUUGCUUACCUAUGUCUGCAGCUCGAUUUUACAGGCUGCUCUUUGUAGAAAAAAAAACAAAAAACUAUUUUGAGACUGCUUUUCAUGAAAAGAAAAACCUUACCAAGGACUCCCAGACCCUCACUAUCUGCCUAAGUAAUUUCUUCUUAACUCCUGUAUCAUUACUAUAUUGCCCAGGCUGGUCUCAAAUUCCUGGGCUCAAGUGAUCCUCCCACCUUAGCCUCCCAAAGUGCUAGGAUUACAGGCAUGAGCCACUGUGCCCAGCCAUGUUGUAUUUUUUAAAGUACAGUUUAUCAUGAAAAAGGGAGAAAAGGUACUACAUCCAACCAGAAUGGCUAAAAUGAAAGAGAUAAACACUAUCAAAUUUUGACAAAGAUAUGAAACAACCAGAACUCUCAUAUAUGCCUGGUGGCAGUGUAAAAUGGCAUAGCCACUUUAGGAAAUAGCUUGGUAGUAUCCACUAAAGCUGAAAAUAUGCAUAUAUUCAAUUGUAUUCUUAAGUAUAUAUCCUACAAAAAUUUAUGAGCGUUUUAACCAAAAGAUCUGUGUACAAAUGUCCAUAGCAGUAAUCUUUUCUUUUUUUUUUUUUUUUUUUUUUUUUUUUGCUCCAGUCAAGGGAGAAGCAGUGAUGUUUUAGUAUCCAGAAAGUGGAAAUAACCCAAAUGCCCAUCAACAGCAGAAUGAAAUUGUACUAUAUUCACACCAUGGAAUAUUGUAUAGCAAAGAGAAUGAAUGAACUAUUAACAGAAAAGACAUGGACAAAUCUCAUAAACAUGAUGCUGAAAGAAACCACAGUCAAAAAAGAAGAUGCUUCCCAACCUUUUGCAGACCAUGGCAUACGCAGAAAAUGACAACAUCGGAAUGGCACACUGGCAUACCAGUUGGGGAUCCUUGCAGUCAAUGCUGACUGGACUCAUCCUUCAGCCGCCCCCAAGAAGAGAGAGAUCAAUACCUUGGCACAUCUGUGGGAAAGCUCCCAUUAGAGAGUGUGGGGAAGACACAGGCCUCCACAACACAUUUCAGGUUCUCUAAACUGGCAAAGGGGAAGAGUCUGGGCUUCCUUUGCCCUUUUGUUCUCAAAGAGCCCAGCUGUGCACACCCCUCACCCCUGCACUAUAGCUCCCAUUUGGGUAGUGAAAAAUCACAGGACUCAGGGGAGUUAUGCAGCAUUCGGGAAUGGAGACCUGGAAAGCCACACACUCCUCCUUGCUUUCCUGUGAGCCUCUCUUCUUGCUGUCCCCUUUACAACCAACAGUCCCUGCAGGGGGAAGACACUCUGCUUUAGUCAGUUCCACCUCCCUUCCAGAUCUCAUCCUCCUUUCAGCCUAAUUUUCCUCACACUGUCAUGCUCCUUCCCACUGCUCGCCCCCCACCCCCUACUCUCCUCCAGCACAUCACACAUUGCGCCUGGGCACACUGAGCUUGUCUGCCAUCUAUGAAGAGGCCCAUGUCACCCAAGCCCUUCUCUUUCCCUGUCAUGCCAUAGCCUCUUCCAGGAGCGCUCAGCCUGCUGUUUCUGCUCAGACCUCCCCUCCUCUGCAAAGCCUCCUUCUGCGUGCUGCCCGAGAGCCAUCCCCCACUUGGGUUUGUGUUACUGCUGUGUAUGGCAGCAUCUUCACUGUGCCUGAUUUCCCGUCUUGGCCCAUCGUAGGUGCUCAACAAUUGUUUCUCAAAUGACCAGCGCCUGCAGAGGGACCCUGACAUGAACUCCACCCCACCCCGACUCUUGGCAGUUACUCACUGUCCCCUUGAGUCGGGAUCCCAGCCCCUCAGGGGACCUGUCUUGCAGCCAUUCCACGCUCUGUCACCCCACUGCCAGGAGACUAGAGCCACACUGCCUGGAUGACGCUCAUCUUUACCAGCUCGCAGCUCUGCCAGCUGCCUGCUCAGGGGUGGCCGCCAGCUGAGGGAUUGAGCUGAUUAUAGGUGAAUCAGCACCAGGCUGAUUGUGGUGUGAAAAAGGGGAAGGGUGACUGUGUCUUAGCCUCAAUCCUGGCUCCCCUCCUUCCAGCCCUGACCUGCAGUAACAGCACAGGGCCACCAGAGGCUCUAUUGGGCGACUCAUGCCCCGCGGAGAAAGGCCCAGUAGGAGAGCAUCUGACCCAGUUCCCAGCAGAUGAGAAAGGAAGAAGAGUUCAGGAGGCUUCUACUCUCAGAGGUCUCCAGCACUGAAACCCCGCAGCCGCACCUGGCUGCCUUAUCCUUGUGUUUUGCCCCUCAUGGGUCUAGAAGCUGUUGUGUUACACCUUAACAUCUUCCUCCUUGCUUGCCAUGAGCCCCUCUGCUUGCAGCCCCCUUUACAGAACAACAGUCAUGGUAGAGGGAAGAUGUCUCCACUUUUGUCAGUUCUGCCUCCUUUAGGAGAGUGUCAGGCCUAACCCAUGUGUGCUCUGUCUUUCAGGGCAUGGAAAAGACUAUUGUCCUGUUUCGUCUUUUCAACACCUCUUGACUCUCUCCCCCUGGUUUCCUAACAGCCAGCUAGGUUCAGGGCCUCCCAUCUCUGGCCAGGAUUAGUGCAAUGGCUUUCUGAAGGGUCCCAGGCUCCAGGGAGCCCCUUGCCCAUCAAGUCUCUACCCUGGAGCCAGACAGCCCUUACUUCCAUCAGACAUCAGCCUCCAGUGGCUCCGAAAGGCCAGGCAUCCACACAGCACCCCACGGCCCCAAGAACUGGCUGCUUGAUUUUCCUGCCCUGUGUCCCUCCUCUCCUUGGCCCUCUACCCAGCAAUCACCCCAAAACACUGUGAUGUUUCAAGCCUUUGUACUUUGCACACAUUCUUCUCCAUGGCCUAAUUCCCUCUCUCCACCCCUCACUCCACACCUCCUCCACCUUUACCCUUUCUCCCCAUUCUUUCUUCACCGGGCACAGCCCUACUUAUCCUUCAAAACUGCCACUUCCUCUGCGAAGCCUUUCCUGACCCGUGUCCCAGAAUCCCUCCUCUGAACAAAUCCUGUUCCCUAAACAUGCAUCUCUCAUUGUAUCUGUCACUCAAGGGUUGCAAUAAUUACACACACGCCUGUCCUUUGUCCUCCACUGGCUCUGUACCUCCAUGUGGGACCCAUGGCCAGCACACAUUGGUGGUGCCCGAAAGCUGUUGCACUGGAGUUGUUCCUUCUGCCCCAUCACCUCCCACCUUGAACAAGUCCUUUAGAUGACCU